rnacentral:lncRNA from 1 species
UUGAAAUGUGCCAUACUCUUACACAUUUUCACUACUUAAUGAAGUAUGGUUGCUGCAUUUUCUGCACAACCUUGAAGUUGAAAACAACACUCCAAUAUUCUCUCAAUUCUCUGCCAUUCUAACCCCAAGAAACCGAUUCAAAAUUAUAACCAAAAACAUUCAAACAAAACAAACUUUAUCACAGUAGCCGUAGCACUAGCAGUAGUGCUUCCAAAAUCAAUAGUAAUAGAUUACUCGGCCUGCGCGCCACAUAGGCUUGAUAGUUUUUAGGGUCAACAUUUUGGCACGCCCAGUGGGACACAGUGCUAAAACUACGAAGUUCACAUGAUCUAUCUCGAUCAGGCUUCAUGGGAUGAGUGUCAUCGCCUAUUAAAGAAGCAAAAACAACUUCUCGAGAGAUUGGGAAGAAUUUCUGAAAGGCAAGAGGCCGGGGGGCAAAUUUCCACUCCGGCCACAACCAAUAUUCGGCCUAAGAAAAUUGUUAAUUUGACCGAAGAACAAAGGCCACCUAUUUUUUCGGUUGAGACUGAUAGUGUGGUAGGCCUAGAAGAAAAAGUUCAAAUCUCUGAGUCACAAAUCAACUUGGAAAAUGAUUCGUCAGAGGAGUGUUCCAAUGACAAACAAGACCGAUACACGGCUUCAGACCAUAAAACCACAUCAAUUGAUAUAGUAAUUGGAGACAUGGUCUUACACGUCGAGACUACGCCAAUUGACAUGAUUAUUGGUGAUAAAGCUGAUAUGGGGAAAUCCCGUUCGGCUAAGUUGUUCGAGUUAAAAGCCGAAAUCGGCGAAAUUAUUAUGCUUGGGGGCAUACUAAUUGUUCAACACAUUCGGUGGCCGAUGUUAAAAAAACUUUUGUCAAGCCGAGCAUAUUUGGAGAUGAUUUUUUAUUCGGUUCAAUGCAAAAUUUGAUUGGCUGUGUUGAUAUACAAAGAUCUCGGCUUGGAAUAAAACAUCGUUGGCCUCCUCCUCUUUAUUAGUUCGGCCACUUUUGUUUUCUUUUAUUAAGGACAUGAAUAAAUUAUUUUCUUAAUCAUCUGGCUAAUUAAGCCAAUACUUAAGAAAAUAAAGGGGGCAACAAGAGUUUGCGGAUUAUAAAAAAAAAUAAAAAUAAAAAAAAAAUAAAAUAAAAAACAAAGGCUAGGCCGAGGUCGAGAGAAUCAGGAAGAUGAUAUGGUGGCCCUGUAAGCAUUGGCAGAUUCAAGGUCAGAAAAACAAAUUAUACAUACUUUAUGCACACUGUCUCAGCUUUUCAUCUUGAUGUCUGCACGUCAUGGAUAUAUAUAUAAGUAUUGGGAUUCGAAAGGUCCAGCCAAACUGAAAACAGAGUAGGUGCAUGGUAGCUGUAUAUCUAUACAUCUAUAUGUAAUCACAUGACAGAGACAAGCCAUUGGGAUUUAUAUAUAUAUAUAUAUAUAUAUAUAUAUAUAUAUAUAUAUAUAUAUAUAUAUAUAUAUAUAUAUAUGUAUAUGCAUGGCCGAGAACACAAGCUGCCAAGUAAGAUUUUUUUAAUUUCUCAGCCCUUUACCCCCAACUCUUCUCGACCUAUAUCAUACAUGCCGAGCUCGGCGAACUGGUACUCGGCACAAGUUCUUUAUAUAUAUAUAUAUAGGCCAACUGCAUGGCUGGCAAAUCACCUUAGACAAUCAUGUUACCUUUAUAGAUAUGUAUAUAUCGACAGGCCGAGCUCCAAGAACGGUUUUUAUCGACCUUGACCCCAGCUCUUCUCGGCUUUACUUUGUCCUCGACCCCAGUUAUUCUCCUUCUCGACCUUCUGGCAAGGUUGCCAAGCGUGGUCUGGAGUUGUGACUGUCGAGGAAGGUUGCAGCAUUGGCAGAACAUACAUGUUAUUGCCGAGGAACAAAGUUUCUUUUUCGGCGAUACGAUGGGAUUUUGUUGGUCACGAACAAUUAAUUUCCUUAACCAUUCGGCUUACGAGCCGAAGCUCAGGGAAACUGGGAGGCAAUGUUUGGACCUGAUUUUACACCAUCGGCCCAAGCAAUCGAGGCCGUUGAGAGAGCUAGCUCCUAACCGUUGGAUGAAAGAUGAAGAUAGUUUUGUUAUUAUGAUCGUUAUCGUAAUAAUUAUCUUUCAAUAUGAUUCAUUUUCUUUUUAAGACGGGAUAAGUGGGAUUCUCAUUACCUCCAAUGAAGGCAACAACAACAGAGUUCGAAUUAAUUGAGGUUAUGUGAUUCUAUCUUGCAUACAGAACCGCAUGGAGCAAUUCUACAAGGAUGUAAUGGGAUGAUCAGUAUGAUGCGAUGCCGUGCGUGCGAAAGUCUCUCAAAUAUCUACUAUAUUAUUAUUAUUAUUAUAUAUAUAUAUAUAUAGUAGGCUUGCAUGCCUAUACGGCUAUGCCGUGAGUCUCCCAAAUAUCUAUUAUAUAUAUAUAUAUAUAUAUAUAUAUAUAUAUAAUAAUAAUAAUAAUAAUAAUAAUGGUUAUCACUAUUUGGUCAGAUGAUGUGAUAAGCCUUGACAGGCUUUUGAUUUGUUUGAGAAGGCACGACAGUCUGAAGCAUAGCCCUCUGAUAUGGAUCAAAUUUCUUUUCACAAGUUUAAGUUGCAGUUGGACUUUACAAAUAUUGUCAGACCUUGCCAAGCAGAAAAUAUGAAUACUAUAAAUACAAGGCUCGGUGCAACGUUGAAAGAACCCCUCCAAUUCAACACACAACUGCCUUGCGCAAAUUCUCUCAACAACUUUAAGAUUUUUAUUUUCUCUUUUCGCUGACACAUCUUCCAUUGGCAUCAACAGCACUGUGAAAGCAACCGGUGAUAUCUUCAGUCGGCAUAGAUAACUCUGUCACCAUAGAAUCAGCUGAUCUCGCAGCAUCUUCCGUUGACAUCAACAACACUGCGGUGAGGACGGUUGGUUACCUAUCCAAGUCUCGGUCGAGAAGGAUUUCUGAAUCCUUAUUGGUCGAUGUCAUCUCAUUAGCCUUUUCGGCGAAGUGAGGUGUUACAGUUUACUGAGCUCGGCACAUUGCACGCCGAGUUAUUUUAUGAUUUGAUACUCUCAAGUGGGAUUUAGAGUUCGGCAUUCCGAUGGCCGAACCACGUUCACUAUUAAGACUUAUAUCCGCUUUGAGUAUUUGUGCCCUUACACUUUGGUGUUGAUUCGGCGUGAGUUUACUCUGACGAAUACCAUCACUGUGACCGAAUCUGACGACGACAAUUCGUGAACUUCGUAAGAAUAGUAGCCUUAUCUUCAGGCUCGAGAACCCAAGAGGCCGAGACAUGUUCCUUUCUCGGCCACAAUCGCAAGACGCAGAAGUCAGUAGCGCCACCAAACGCAACAUCAACAAAUUUUACUCCUCGGCCAAGCUCGGCCGACGAGUUAUCACUCCCCGCACACAACCGAAGGACGUAGUUAGCUUAUAGAUUACUCAACUUGCGCGCCACGUAGGCUUGGUAGUUUUUAGGGUCAACAGGAAGUCAACUAUCCUAAUUGGAUUUUAUGACAGUGACUGGGGUGGCAGUGAAGAUGAUAGCAGAAGCACAUCGGGCUAUGCCUUCACCUUUGGAUCAGGGGUAUUUUCGUGGGCCUCUGUGAAGCAACAAAGUGUUGCACUGUCCACAGCGAGGUGGAGCAUGUGAGUGCAUCAGAAGCAACGGCUCAAGCUAUUUGGUGCCUUCACCUUUGGAUCAGGGGUAUUUUCGUGGGCCUCUGUGAAGCAACAAAGUGUUGCACUGUCCACAGCGAGGUGGAGCAUGUGAGUGCAUCAGAAGCAACGGCUCAAGCUAUUUGGCUAAGGUUUAUACUCAAGGAUUUUGGCGAAUUACAGGUUGAUGCCACACCACUCUUGUGUGACAACACCUCUGCAAUUGCCAUGACCAAAAACCCAGUUUUUCAUCAAAGAACAAAGCACAUCAAAAGAAGAUAUCAUUUCAUCAGAGAGGCAUUACAGGACAACACAAUCAAGCUAAUUUAUUGCAGCAUAGAAGAUCAGAUCGUAGACAUAUUCACAAAAGCACUACCGAAGGAGAGAUUCAAUUACCUGAGGGGUUUGCUCGGAAUGACUCCUAGAAGCAGUUUAGAAGGGAGUAUUGGAAGCUAACCAGCUCCUGGAGUCGAGGGGUCGAAGGCAGCAAAGGGCUCCUCAGCAAAGGGUGUUGUCUGCAAAGAAGAAAUGAAGGGUUGGCCUCAAAUCGGCUAGUUUUGUUUUAAAUGUGUGAAUGACAAAUGUACACUCCAUAUUAGAUCACUUAAACCCCAAUGAAGGGCUAUGAUUUAAUCUGGAGUAGUAAGGUGAUUUAGUGUUUAAAUAUUGUCUUAUCACCAACUCUUUUACACAAGUAUGGGUGAUUGAAAUGUGUCAUACUCUUACACAUUUUCGCUACUUAAUGAAGUAUGGUUGCUGCAUUUUCUGCACAACCUUGAAGUUGAAAACAACACUCCAAUAUUCUCUCAAUUCUCUGAAACCGAUCCAAAAUUAUAACCAAAAACAUCCAAACAAAACAACCAAAAACCGUAGCACAGCAGCAGCAGUGCUAGUGCUUCCAAAAUCAAUGGUAAUACUAAGACCACCACCCACCAAUUGUUGUUGUUGUUGCUGCUGCUGCUGCUGCUGUUGCUGCUGCUGAAACUGUUGUUGCUGCAAUUGUUGUGGUUGUUGCGGUUGCUGAAAUUGUUGGGGUUCUUGUGGUUGCAGGUAUUGUUGCAGUUGUUGUUGGGGUUGCUGAAAUUGUGGCAGUUGUUGAAAUUGUUGAGGUUGCUGAAAUUGUUGCGGUUGUUGUUGGAAAGGUUGCGGUUGUUGUUGCUGGAAUUGUUGCAGUUGCGGUUGCUGGAAUGGUUGCAGUUGUUGCUGGAAUGGUUGCGAUUGUUGCUGGAAUGGUUGCGGUUGUUGUUGUUGCGGUUGCUGGAAUUGCUGUUGUUGCUGCUUCUGGACUUUUUGUUGUUGCGGUUGAGAAUUACCAGCAGCUCCAAAAACAGGAAAACCGAUAAGAGCUGUAAGUGCUGUGUUUACAAUAGCCUUUCCCAGCUUCUUAACACUUCUCCCUCUAUUCAAAGGUUGUACAGUAUUAGCGGCUUGUCCUCCAUAUACUACACUGCUCUGCAUUCCAUUAUUAUUACUACUAAUAAUAUUUGGUUGUGGUCCAUAGUUUUGGACCUGGAGAUCGUGAGGACUACCUGAAGCAGCAUUUGUCUGAUAAUUAUACGGACUGCCAACGACAACUGGCGAUGACAGUUGUGCUGCUUGAUUUAGUUGAAUUGGUUCGGCGGUGGUGCAGGCCAAAUGAGCCACAAA